CGGCCACACUGGGACUGAGACACGGCCCAGACUCCUACGGGAGGCAGCAGUAGGGAAUCUUCGGCAAUGGACGGAAGUCUGACCGAGCAACGCCGCGUGAGUGAAGAAGGUUUUCGGAUCGUAAAGCUCUGUUGUUAGAGAAGAACGUUGGUAGGAGUGGAAAAUCUACCAAGUGACGGUAACUAACCAGAAAGGGACGGCUA
rnacentral:ncRNA from 1 species